GCCCCUCCCCUAGAUGGCAAGCAGUCCAAUCAAUACAUGUUAAAUAUGUUAAAAAUAAUAUAUAUAUAUACACACACAUACAUGUACAUUUUUAACAUGUUUUAAUAUGAAUCAUUUUCACAAGGGAAAAAGCACCAAAAAAAGAAGAAAAAAAAAAGUGAACAUAGCAUGUGUUGAUUAACAUUUCAAUUUCCAUAGUUCUCUCUCUAGAUGCAAAUAGCAUUUUCCAUUCAGUUUACAGGAAUUUCCUUGGAUCACUGAACCACUGAGCAGAACCAAGACUAUCAUAGUUGAUCAUUUAUAGUCCUUUGGGCAUAGUUCCAAAUUGCUCUCCAGAAUGGAAUGCUUGGAUCAUUUCACAACUUCACCAACAAUGCAUUAGUGUUCCAGCUUUCACACAUUCCCUCCAACAUUUGUCAUAUUUUCCUGUCAUUUUAGCCAAUCUGAGAGAUGCGAGAUUGUACCUAAGAGUUGUUUUGAUUUAGAGCAUUUUUUCAUAUGAUUAUAGAUGGCUUUAAUUUCUUCAUUUGAAAACUGUCUGCUCAUAUUCUUUGAUCAUUUAUGACCAUUAUGGGGAAUAACUCAUAUUCUUAUAAAUUUGACUCAGUUUUCUCUAUAUUUUAGAAAUGAGGUCUUUAUCAGAAAUACUCCAGCUUUUUGCUUCCCUUCUAAUCUUGGCUGCAUUGGUUUCGUUUGUGCAAAACUUUUUUUUUUUUAAUUUAAUGUAAUCAAAGUUCAUAAUGUUCUGUUUCUUCUUUGGUCAUAAAUUCAUUCCUUCUCCAAAGAUCUGAUAGGUAAACUAUUCCUUGUUCUCUUAAUUUAAUAGUAUCACCCUUUAUGCCUACAUUAUGUAUCCAUUUUGACCUUAUUUUGCUAUGAGGUAUGAGAUGUAGGUAUGCCAAGUUUUUGACAUAAAUUUUCCACUGUUCCCUGAAAUUUUUGACAAAUGGUGAGUUCUCAUCCCAAAAGCUGGAAUUUUUGGAUUUAUCAAACAGUAGCUUACUAUAGUCAUUGAUUGUUGUGUCAUGUGUAUCUAACCUACUGAUCCACCAUUUUAUUUAUAGUCAGUAGACAGUUUUGAUGAUUUCUUCUAUAAAAUUCUAUAAAAUUAUAGAAUUUUAGGCCUGGUACUGCUAGGCCACCAUAUUUUGCACUUUUUUCAUUAAUUCCCCUCAUAUUCUUGACCUUUUCUUUUUCCAGAUGAAUUUUGUCAUUUUUUCUAACUCUGCAAAGUAAUUUCUUGGCAGUUUGAUAGGAAUGGUAUUGACUAAAUGGAUUAAUUUAGGUAGAAUUGUCAUUUUUAUUAUAUUCAUAUAUAUUAUAUUCAGGGUACCCAUGAGCAAUUGAUGUUUUCACUUGUUUAGAUCUGACUUUAUUUGUAUGAAAAGUGUUUUGUAAUUGUGUUGAUAUAGUUCUCUCCCAUUUUUUUUACCCAGAACACCACCAGUUAGAUAAUCUAUUAAACACUUUAUUAUGUAUUAAAGAUUGUGUUAAACAUUAGGGAAACAAAUACGAACAAGAUAAUUUUUGGGCUCAAGAAGCUUAGGUUCUAAUGAUAUAAGACAACACAUUCAAAAGGGACUUGAAGAAAAGGAGAAGAGGAGUAUUCAUAGAACAAUAUGGGUUGGAAAUGACUUCAAAUGUGGUUGAAGUCUGAAUAUAGUGAGAUAAGCCCAAAGUUGUUCUCUUUUGUGAAGAUACAAACCACAAAAAAUUUUAAAUACCACUAAUAAGCUUAUAGUAUCAUAGUAGCUAGAUACAGCUGUAGAAAGGACAAAUAUCAAAAGAGAACUAUAACUAUCCUACCUAUAGAUUAUAUCGUGUUAGUUCUUUCAGCUAUAUUUAUUAAAGCAUAUAUUCCUAUUUAUUAUAUUCCUAUAUAUUAUAUAUAAAUUAUUAUAUAAUACAUAAAUGCAUCUAUUAUAUAUAAUAUAUAUUUAUGAUACAUAAUAUAUAACACAUAUUAUAUAUAUAUUUAUAUAACAUUAAAUAUAUUUAUAUAAUAGUAUAUAUUAUAAAUCAUAUAUAUUAAAUAGCACAUAUUUAC
ensembl:lncRNA